rnacentral:rRNA from 1 species
GAAGAGUGGCGAACGGGUGAGUAACACGUGGGUAACCUGCCCAUCAGAAGGGGAUAACACUUGGAAACAGGUGCUAAUACCGUAUAACAAUCGAAACCGCAUGGUUUUGAUUUGAAAGGCGCUUUCGGGUGUCGCUGAUGGAUGGACCCGCGGUGCAUUAGCUAGUUGGUGAGGUAACGGCUCACCAAGGCCACGAUGCAUAGCCGACCUGAGAGGGUGAUCGGCCACAUUGGGACUGAGACACGGCCCAAACUCCUACGGGAGGCAGCAGUAGGGAAUCUUCGGCAAUGGACGAAAGUCUGACCGAGCAACGCCGCGUGAGUGAAGAAGGUUUUCGGAUCGUAAAACUCUGUUGUUAGAGAAGAACAAGGAUGAGAGUAACUGUUCAUCCCUUGACGGUAUCUAACCAGAAAGCCACGGCUAACUACGUGCCAGCAGCCGCGGUAAUACGUAGGUGGCAAGCGUUGUCCGGAUUUAUUGGGCGUAAAGCGAGCGCAGGCGGUUUCUUAAGUCUGAUGUGAAAGCCCCCGGCUCAACCGGGGAGGGUCAUUGGAAACUGGGAGACUUGAGUGCAGAAGAGGAGAGUGGAAUUCCAUGUGUAGCGGUGAAAUGCGUAGAUAUAUGGAGGAACACCAGUGGCGAAGGCGGCUCUCUGGUCUGUAACUGACGCUGAGGCUCGAAAGCGUGGGGAGCAAACAGGAUUAGAUACCCUGGUAGUCCACGCCGUAAACGAUGAGUGCUAAGUGUUGGAGGGUUUCCGCCCUUCAGUGCUGCA